CGUUCGUUAUCGCCGGAUAGCGGACCGUAAACGCUUGGAUUCUGUAUCGUAGGCCUUUGAAGAUACAGAACACCGGCGUUUUUAUUU
rnacentral:ncRNA from 1 species